rnacentral:rRNA from 1 species
UACGUAGGGUGCAAGCGUUGUCCGGAAUUAUUGGGCGUAAAGAGCUCGUAGGCGGUUUGUCGCGUCUGCUGUGAAAACUCGGGACUUAACUCCGGGCCUGCAGUGGGUACGGGCAGACUAGAGUGCGGUAGGGGAGACUGGAAUUCCUGGUGUAGCGGUGGAAUGCGCAGAUAUCAGGAGGAACACCAGUGGCGAAGGCGAGUCCCUGGACAAAACCUGACACUGAGGCACGAAAGCUAGGGGAGCAAACAGG